AAUUCUUUUCUCAUUAGUACGUGUUUGAAGUAAGUGUGGUUUACAAUCAUCUUGGAGGGUGGGUACAAGUACGUACUACCGCUUGUUUAUUUCUUUAACCUCUUUCUCUUCCCUCCCUCCUCCUCCAAAUGCCCUUUCCCCAUUUUCAUUCUUGUUUGCAUUAAUCUUGUCCUGUUUAUGACAUACGCUGUUUGCACUCACUGAGGUCACUGGGUUCCUGUACAUGUCUUCAUUCUGUUCGUUUCCCCUUCCCUGACCCCUCUUCCCUCCCACUGAGUCUCCUGAACUCCUCCUCUCCACCUUUUACUAUGCCCUUUGUUUGUACUCUGAAGGCAAAAGAAUUCUUCAAAGCUGUGUCAUCACAAAUUAUCUCAAAAUCUCAGAGUCAGAAGAAACUGUAUCAAAGAUCUUCCACAUGCUGUUAGAAAAGCUUUAGAAGUUUAUUCUCAUCUAAACUCAGUGUGUGAAUUUUCCCUACACCAACCUUUGUUUCUCCUUACAGACCUCAGAAGGCUAGGGGCUCUCCUUUAUAAUUGACACCUGAUGGCUAUAAUUAUGACAAAAACUGUGAUAAUGCAAGAUCUGGAUGCAGUGUGUGCUCUCCACUUCUGUGACACCAACACAUACGAAUAAGAAGAUGUGGUAUUUGCCUUUCUGCACUGCCCUAUUUCAGAUGGCAGCUGUCCCUGCCUUGGAGCUGCGUCUCCUUCGAUCAGCCCUACGUCUCUCACCCUCCCUGGUCAGUCAGCUUUCGGAUCGGCACGCAUCUUGGAUGCCCUCUUCUCUGUGCCACAUGGGCAUCAACAUCCCUUCCAUGGAGCUCAGGGAGGAACCUACGGAAGUGUCCAACAAGUGGUCCUGAGAAAGCGUGACCGCGAUCAUGAGGAGACAUGGUGAAAAGCAAAGUCUGAUGAUGGGAAAGACACGUCUGGAAUACAAGCAUGUUGACCCAGGCUGAGGAUCCACUCUUACCUAAUAAGGCUCCUCUGAAUUCCUCCCUCUCAUUCGUGCACCCUUCUCCUGCUACAACACGUAUAAGAACUCAGACAACACUGACUUUGUGCUCUAUUCGAAGUGCGGGGGACAGAGACAUUCUACAUGGCUGGAUUCGAGUCAUGGAACCUUCCAGUCUACACAGCAUAUGGACUCACAUUGUGUUGGAAAUUUUACAAGGAAACUAUUAAAUUUGUAUCAAGAUUUUAGUGAUUCAGCAUGUAUUGAAUGCUUAUUAUGUGCUAAUCACUAUAGCAACUGAAAUGAACUAGGAAACGAGAAGGCAGGGCAAUCUAACCAACUCAAGUCAGUAAAAAGAGUGAAUGCGAGUCAAAAAUAAGCAAUUCUGAGGACUAGCCUUCAGGCAUUCCAAACCCUUGCACAUUGUCACAACCCCUGUGUCUCAGUGAGAAGCGAUAUUAUCACGGUUCAUCUCCUGGAGACCAGGAACAAUGCUGCUGGAGGACAAGAUUUUUGUGUCUGUGUCACCACCACUGGAAGAAAGAAGGUGAAGAUAGAAAAGCACAAAAGGAGUGGCAGGAGAUAUCCUGGAGAGAGUUAUAAGACAUACAACAAGCAGAACUAUGAUGUUUAUGCCAUCAGGUUAUAUAAAAUAUGGAAUUUUAAUCCACUAAGCAGUUUAUCUUUUCAGGCAGCUUAGUUCUCUAGGAUAUUUACCUUCCUGAGAGGCCCAUGCCAUGUUCUAGGAAAAGUGUGUGCAAAAUACACACAAAAGUGUGUGCCCUGUUGGAAAAUUUGGCAAAGGCUGGAGGAUUAAUUCAACUUUUAGAAAAACAUCAUGCUGUAGACCUUGAAGGAAGGAUAUAGGCUGAAAGUUUCUUUUUUGUUGUUAGCAAAACUGUUCAAGUCUAUUUUGUCUUAAAACAGCAGCAGCAGCAGCAGCAGCAGCUAAUUGAGCCUUCAUCCUGUGUGAGGUACUAUGCCAAGUACUUUUCAAGCACCCCCAAAGUUCCGAGAUAUACAGUGCGCUGAGAUUCACCCUGGAUCUCCUUCCUUUCUUUUCUUUUUCUUUUUUCUUUUGCUACUGGAGAUCAAACUCAGGUCCUG